UUAUUUUUAUAAAAAGCCCGAUUUCCUUUUGUUUUAAUAGUCGACAAAAGCGAAAAAAACAAACUCAGAUCUGCAACCUUCAAAGUGAAGAAGUCUCUGCAAAGAUCGAUGAAGCCUAUCACAGUGAAGGAAAGAGGUGGAUUAACCUUCAAAGUGAUGAAGGCUCGGCAAAGAUUGAUGAAGCAUAUCAGAGUGAAGGAAAAAGGUGGAUUACCAGGAGCCGUUGACAACUCUUACAAGGAACCUUACGCUAAAAUCCAGGCUACGACAGAAAACCUAAAAAAAAGAAGGCAGUUGACUACUCGGAUUGGUUCAGAAGCUUCCAUGGAGACAAACAGGGACACAAAUCGAAAGCCGGAAUCUAAGGAGAAAGAUGUAACUGAUGAUGAUAGAGAUUUCUGUUAUAGUACCAGCUCUUCUGUCUCUCCUUGCAUCUUUAAAACUCCUUUUCCUGGCCUGCAAUUCCAGGAGCCUCAGUUGGCUUCAAUUGGCCCUUAUCAUUACACAAACCGAAACCUCCCACUUGACAAAUACAAGUACUCUUUCCUUGACAGGUUUAUAUCUCGGACGGGCAAAGAUUUGCGCUUUUAUGUGCAGCAAAUGAUGAGUCUUGAGUGGCAUUCCAGAACAUGCUACUCCCACGAUUUCUCAAUGUCCAGUCCCCAAUUCGUUGAAAUGAUGUUACUUGAUGGUUGCUUCAUAAUGGAGGUUCUGCACCAUUUUGGAGUCUCUGAACAACAACCUUGGGUUUUCCCCGUUGAACCAUGGCAACUCCCCAUUUUGGUUCAAGACCUGCUCAUUCUAGACAACCAAAUUCCCUUUUUUGUUUUGGAAAUGCUGUUUGAGUCAUUGGAGAGCCAAGAAGGGACACCAACACUUUCUCUAUGCACUAUGGCCUUGAAAUUUUUCGAUCUAGCUUUCCCUCUAUCCAUGGAUAUCGCCUGCCCUUUGAAACCCCACCAUUUACUUGACUUGCUUCUCCACUCUAUCCGCCCAUCAAAUCCAUCCCAAAUGGUCGCCCCAAAUUUUGUUUACUCAUUUUUGAAGAAAAUCAAUACGAGAAACCAAGCUGAUACAAUGAGAGAUCAACUUGAACAGCAGCCUCCAUUUUACUUAACAAAGAAUGUAAUGGAACUCCAAGCAUCAGGUAUACAGUUGAGGUCAACAACCGCUGCUAGGUUCACAAAUAUCAAUUUCAACAACGGAGGGCUUGAAAUCCCAUCUGUAACCAUUAAUGACAUCUUUAUCGCCAUCCUUAAUAACUGCGUGGCCUUAGAGCAUUGUUCUGAGACAAGCUCCAAAGACUUUACUGCUUAUGUCUCUUUCAUGAGUAAGCUCAUUAGACAUCCUUCUGAUGCAGAGUUGCUAUGUUCAAAUGGCAUCAUCUCAAGAUUUUCCCACAAUGACCAAAAAGUGGUACAAUCUUUCCAUAUGCUUUGGAUAAAUAUUCUAGAUCUUGACGUCCAACAUUCCUAUCUUUCCAAGAGGUUGAAGGAACUAGAAUGGUACUAUACACAAGAUGGGAAAACUCGGCCUUGGCGGCGUCUUGUGUCGAGAUAUUGGGGAAUUUGUUUCUUCUGCAUCACAAACCUUUUGUUGUGUUUCAACCGAUUAAGAUCAGGCGUUAAUUUGAUGAUCCAUUUCGUAGAGCAAGUUAAAUUUAAUGGCAUAAAUGGAGAGUUUCAGGGUGACAUUACAUGUCCUCAAGACCAUACCUCUUUUAUCUGUGAUUCUGUGUUCCGUAUGGCUGGGUUUAUAUAUAAUAGUGCAAGAGGACGUGUAAAAUCCAUAGACUUGAGCCUUAGCAAUAGCAAAUUCAUGGCUUUCUUUUUCCUCAAUCUUGUCAUUGUUAUUAUAAUGCUCAUGGGUCAUGAAAUUCCUCCUCCUCCUCCUCCACCACCCAAACUUGAUGAGAAGGUCGAUUAUUCACUCGAACUUGAAGAGGAGGCCGAUGAAUUUUUAAGAAUAUUUAAAAAAAUAAUGUUAGAAGCGAAGGAUCAAUAUAUCAAGGUUGAAGAUAAGGUGGCAGCGGAUAAGCGAGGCAUAGAGGUUGAAGAUUCAACCAAAAGGAAAGAAAAAUCAGGAGGGGGCACCAGUAGAGUGUCAUGGUCUAUUGUGGACAAAAAUGAGAUGAUGGUGGAUUGUGUGAGCAAUGAGGAAUAUUACAACGACGCAUGGACUAAAAUUUUAGAACAGAAAGUGAUUGGGAAGAUACUCUCGGCUUUGUCACCCGUACCUUGGGAUUGAUCUAUGGCUAACAAUCUUUGUAAGUUUGGUGGAAAACGUUUGAUGUAUAAGAAUCUGUCUAUAAUUGUUUAUGUUACCAUUUUAACUAGUUUUGCUAUAAAGGAGAGGAGAUGGCAUAAGCCACCUUUUAAAUUAGUUGAAGAAACUUUAUCAUCUCUCUAAUAAUUGCAAUAAUAGUUUUAUCAACACCAGGACAAGUAAGAAAAUGACAGAUGAGGUUGCUUUUUCCGCAUGGGGUAUUGAAAUUCUAGUCGCUACCUCUCCACUUGCCCUCUAUGGUUGGGUAAGGAGAAGAAACGUUGAAAUUCUAGUAAACAAAUUAUAAAAUAUAUGAAGAGACGAAUUUAGAGAAACCAAGUCGAAACACCUGUUUACUUUCCUUUCUCUACCAAACUUUACAAAGCUUAUCGCAAUCCAUCGGCCGCAUAAUAUGUGGGUUUUUUUUUUUUUUUUUGUGGGGGGAAUACUAAAGUUGAAAUAUUAUUUAUAAAAUUAUUUUACUUAAAAAUAUCAAAAGAUAAAAUCACUUGAAUUAAUAUUUAUUAAUUUGUAAAAUUAAAUACAAUUUAGUUUGUGAUAUCAAUGGCUUAAUGUAAGCAUAGAUGGCAUAUUCAUAUGAUUUAUGGAUUUAUUGUAUCUAUGUUACAUUUGGUACGACUAUUGCUUAUUCAUCAUGUUUUAGUAUAUGAAACAAUUUUUAAUUGGUAAUUUUUAGCCACUCAAGUGACUUAUUUUGGGAAAAGAAAAAGAAAUUUUUUCACAUAUUUUUUGAAUGUCUUAUUUUUCACAAGGAAUUUUACUCCUCUCUCUAGUUUCAAGUUCAAAUUUGUUUAACUAUUUUUUUAUUUAUGUCUAAUUAUUGUAAUACAUAUAAAAUAAAUAAGCAUUUUUCUUGUAUUAUUGCAUAGCACGAUGUGAGUAAAAACAAUUAUGUAAAAAAAUUAUUUAUUAAAAAGUAUAAAGUGUUAAGGAAUAAGCUAGCAAUUGCAGUUAGGUAAUUGGCAGCUAGUUUGUUAAGAAGUCAGCUGUUAAUGAUUAGUUCAGUUAGGUAAUUUUGUUAUUUGACUAUUGAAUCAACUAACUUGCUAGCUGCUCUUCUAUAAAUAGCAAAUACUUAGUUCUUAUGAAUGUUAAGAAUCAUUCAAUAAAACAAGAUCUUCUUGUUUCUAUUAGUUUAUCUCUUCUUAUUGCCGUUCUUGGUCAAUCUCGGCAUGUUAUCAGAGCCACGAUUUUUCUUAUUGAAGUAGGUGAAAGUUUGUUCAUGAGGUGGUUGAUUCAUCAUGGCACCAAAAGUAGUUUCAGGAAAAGAAGGCAGUUAGAAUCACUUCUCAAAUGGUGGUAAGCAGAUAAAUUCACCAUGUUUGGAGCCCAGUUCAGUUGCUUCUAUUAUUGGUUAGAAAGUUCAACAAUUUUCUAAGCAUUAUACUGUCAAACUUGGUAAGAAUAACUUUCUUUUAUGGAGGCAUCAAAUCAUGUUGAUUCUUGAAGGGUAUGGUGUGCAAGGUUUUGUUUUAGGAACUGUUAGUGUCCCAUCUCAGUUUUAUAGUGGAUAAAGAUGGGAAGUUAGUUGAGAAUCCUAAGUAUGUACUACAUAAACAACAGGAUAAGUUGCUAUGUACUACAUAAACAACAGGAUAAGUUGCUAGCAUCUUGGUUGUUGUAUACAGUGUGUGAUGAAGUCUUGAUUUAUCUUACUAAUGCUCAUACUAAUUUUGAUGUGUGGGCAACUAUAGAAAGGAAGUUUGCUACAAAGUCUACUGUCAAGAUUUCAAGUUUAAGGAAUGUCUUGUAUUCUCAAAAGAAGGGUUAGUUAAUUGUUAAUGAGUAUCUGGCCAAGAUCAAAGGGAUUUGUGACACACUAAUUGCAGCAAGUAGCCUGAUUUUUUAGCAGGAGUAAGUUAGCAUUAUUCUUGCAGGGCUUUCCGUAGAAUAUGAAUCUGUCUGGGUGGUGGCCUCAGCUACUUGUGUUUCCCUUGACCUUCUUGCUGAAAUGCUUCUUGAUUGUGAAGAAAGGCAGCUAAAGUUUGUCCAAUAUGCCUAUGCAAGCUAAUCUAGCUAGUCAGUAGAAUAGUAAGGGUACAAAUCAGUCCAAGAACUCUAGUUCGAAUGGCUAUACCAAGACCUAUAAUCAAUGGCAUAAGCAACAAUUUAGAGGUGGUUUUUAGCAUGGUAGAGGGUUUCAUCGGGGCAGAGGUCGUGGGAGAUGAUUUCUACACAAUUGAUUUCAAAGCCAAUUAUGUGGUAAAAUUGGCCACAUUGUGUAGAAGUGUUAUUAAAAUUUUGAUGAGAACUUUCCAGGUGUUUCUGAUAAGAGCCAAAUAAUGUCUGUGAAUUUUCAUUAGUUUUCUGAUUAAAGACAGUGAACACAUUCUUCACAAAGUUGCGGCAUGCAUUAAUAAUGUAGUAGAGCUCUUGGUCCAUCGACUUAGUGGUGGCAAUCUCCAAGCAGUUUUCCUCAAGCAAGCCUUGGUCAACUAGGGUGUCAUUUUGCAGCAUCCUCAAACAACAAUGCUGAUUAGAUAUAGUAUUCAGGUUCAGGAGCCACAAACCACAUCACUAAUGAUGUUUCAAAUCUCAAUCAUGCUACUGAAUACACAGUUUAAAAAGGAAGGAAAUUGAGUUUUACAACAUUCAAACUUUCGGCCAACAGUUUGAGGCUUGAUAGCUUGCUCGUUUCAGACAAUCGGAGUUGCACAUCACACUAUCCAAAUUCCGAUUGGUAUUUUUGAACUUGUGGAUAUUUGUAAAUAUGGCAUGUAUAGGCUAGUUUAAAAGAUGUUAUCUAUGUUACUUGAUAUCAUAGUUUUGGUAUAUUUUGUAUAUGUGUUAAGCCAUGUGAUUUGGCUUAUUUUGGGUACUAUGUUUUGCUUGAAUUAAGUGUUCUAUUACGGUAUGCUUUGGCAAGGUAAUGAUGGAAUGAAAUUAUGCAAGUGAAGUUUUGAUGUGUAGUUGUUAAA